AGAACGAACGGUGGCGGCAGGCUUAACACAUACAAGUCGAGCGCCCCGCAAGGGGAGCGGCAGACGGGUGAGUAACGCGUGGGAAUGUUCCCUUUUGUUCGGAAUAACUCAGGGAAACGGGUGGUAAUACCGUAUACGCCCUUCGGGGGAAAGAUUUAUCGCGAAAGGAUGAGCCCGCGUUGGAUUAGAUAGUUGGUGGGGUAAAGGCUCACCAAGGCGACGAUCCGUAGCUGGUCUGAGAGGAUGAUCAGCCACACUGGGACUGAGACACGGCCCAGACUCCUACGGGAGGCAGCAGUGGGGAAUAUUGGACAAUGGGCGCAAGCCUGAUCCAGCCAUGCCGCGUGAGUGAUGAAGGUCGUAGGGUUGUAAAGCUCUUCACCGGGAAGAUAAUGACGUA
rnacentral:rRNA from 1 species